CUACGGGAUGCAGCAGUGGGGAAUAUUGCACAAUGGGCGCAAGCCUGAUGCAGCCAUGCCGCGUGUAUGAAGAAGGCCUUCGGGUUGUAAAGUACUUUCAGCGGGGAGGAAGGGAGUAAAGUUAAUACCUUUGCUCAUUGACGUUACCCGCAGAAGAAGCACCGGCUAACUCCGUGCCAGCGAGCCGCGGUAAUACGGAGGGUGCAAGCGUUAAUCGGAAUUACUGGGCGUAAAGCGCACGCAGGCGGUUUGUUAAGUCAGAUGUGAAAUCCCCGGGCUCAACCUGGGAACUGCAUCUGAUACUGGCAAGCUUGAGUCUCGUAGAGGGGGGUAGAAUUCCAGGUGUAGCGGUGAAAUGCGUAGAGAUCUGGAGGAAUACCGGUGGCGAAGGCGGCCCCCUGGACGAGGACUGACGCUCAGGUGCGAAAGCGUGGGGAGCAAACAGGAUUAGAUACCCGUGUAGUC
rnacentral:rRNA from 1 species